rnacentral:rRNA from 1 species
UACAGAGGGUGCGAGCGUUAAUCGGAAUUACUGGGCGUAAAGGGUGUGUAGGUGGUUAUUUAAGUCAGGUGUGAAAACCCCGAGCUUAACUUGGGACGUGCGCUUGAUACUGAAUGACUAGAGUAUGGUAGAGGAUAGCGGAAUUUCCGGUGUAGCGGUGAAAUGCGUAGAUAUCGGAAGGAACAUCAGUGGCGAAGGCGGCUAUCUGGACUGAAACUGACACUGAGACACGAAAGCAUGGGUAGCAAACAGG